CAACCCCCAUCUUCAGUUGCCAGCACGUAACGGUGGGCACUCUGGAGAAACCGCCGGUGACAAGCCGGAGGAAGGCGGGGAUGACGUCAAGUCCUCAUGGCCCUUAUGGGCUGGGCUACACACGUGCUACAAUGGUGGUGACAGUGGGCAGCGAGACCGCGAGGUCGAGCCAAUCUCCAAAAGCCAUCUCAGUUCGGAUUGCACUCUGCAACUCGGGUGCAUGAAGUUGGAAUCGCUAGUAAUCGCGGAUCAGCACGCCGCGGUGAAUACGUU
rnacentral:rRNA from 1 species